AGUCCUGUAGCUCAGUGGUUAAAAGCACUCGCCUGGCGAGCGAGAGGUCCUGGGUUCAACUCCCAGGCAGGGCGA